rnacentral:rRNA from 1 species
UACGGAGGAUCCAAGCGUUAUCCGGAUUCAUUGGGUUUAAAGGGUGCGUAGGCGGACUGAUAAGUCAGCGGUGAAAUCUCUCAGCUUAACUGAGAAACUGCCGUUGAUACUGUCAGUCUUGAGUACAGAUGAUGUGGGCGGAAUAUGACAUGUAGUGGUGAAAUACUUAGAUAUGUCAUAGAACACCGAUUGCGAAGGCAGCUCACAAAACUGUCACUGACGCUGAGGCACGAAAGCGUGGGGAUCAAACAGG